GAAGCUACAAACCAGGCCUUCAGGACCUUGUCCUCCGGGGGCUGUCCUCAGCUCCCUGUCUGACCCCUGCAGGUGAGCACAGUGGACCCCAUGUUUUCUGCUCCAAGCAGCUGCCUGAACAGCAUUACCCCUGCUCAUCAAUCAGAGCCUCCAGCAUUCCCUCAAUUUGCUCUACACCCCAGGCCGCCCAGCCCUGGGACAUGACGACCCUGCCAGCGUCCUCCUGCCCCCAGUUUCUUCUCCUCUACUCCUUCCUGAACCCCACUUAUCUGAAAUUUCC
rnacentral:lncRNA from 1 species